UGUAUUUAUUAGAUAAAAAACCAAUGCCCUUCGGGGCUCCUUGGUGAAUCAUAAUAACUUAACGAAUCGCAUGGCCUUGCGCCGGCGAUGGUUCAUUCAAAUUUCUGCCCUAUCAACUUUCGAUGGUAGGAUAGUGGCCUACCAUGGUGGCAACGGGUAACGGGGAAUUAGGGUUCGAUUCCGGAGAGGAAGCCUGAGAAACGGCUACCACAUCCAAGGAAGGCAGCAGGCGCGCAAAUUACCCAAUCCCGACACGGGGAGGUAGUGACAAUAAAUACUGAUACGGGGCUCUUUUGGGUCUCGUAAUUGGAAUGAGUACAAUCUAAAUCCCUUAACGAGGAACAAUUGGAGGGCAAGUCUGGUGCCAGCAGCCGCGGUAAUUCCAGCUCCAAUAGCGUAUAUUAAAGUUGUUGCAGUUAAAAAGCUCGUAGUUGAACCUUGGGUCUGGCUGGCCGGUCCGCCUCACCGCGAGUACUGGUCCGGCUGGACCUUUCCUUCUGGGGAAUCUCAUGGCCUUCACUGGCUGUGGGGGGAACCAGG
rnacentral:rRNA from 1 species